GUCGUCAGCCAGACGGUCGCGAUAAUGCCGGCUUGCCGGUGUUACCGAGGAAAGUCCGGGCUCCAAAGGGUAGGCUGCCAGGUAACGCCUGGGCACGUGCGGCGUGAGCUUCGCGUGACGGAUAGUGCAACAGAAAACAAACCGCCUCCGUGACGGGUGAUGCGAAAGCAGCAGUCGUGCGAAGGUAAGGGUGAAAUGGUGGGGUAAAAGCCCACCGCAUUGGCGGCAACGUCAAUGGCUCGGCAAACCCCAGUCGGAGCAAGGCCAAAUAGGCGGCAAGAGACGUCCCGUCUCGCAAGGAUGUCGCAAGGCAUCGAGCCGCGGGUAGGCUGCUGGAGCGUUCGGGUGACUGAACGCCGAGAGGAAUGACCGUCCGGUGUGCCUUACGGUGCGCUGACAGAACCCGGCUUAUCGGCUGGCGAUCACC
rnacentral:RNase_P_RNA from 1 species